rnacentral:rRNA from 1 species
CGGGAAACCGGAGCUAAUACCGGAUAAUAUAUUGAACCGCAUGGUUCAAUAGUGAAAGACGGUUUUGCUGUCACUUAUAGAUGGAUCCGCGCUGCAUUAGCUAGUUGGUAAGGUAACGGCUUACCAAGGCAACGAUGCGUAGCCGACCUGAGAGGGUGAUCGGCCACACUGGAACUGAGACACGGUCCAGACUCCUACGGGAGGCAGCAGCC